GACGAACGCUGGCGGCGUGCCUAAUACAUGCAAGUCGAACGAGAGCACCCGGUGCUUGCACUGGUCAAUCUAGUGGCGAACGGGUGAGUAACACGUGGGUAACCUGCCCAUCAGAGGGGGAUAACAUCCGGAAACGGAUGCUAAAACCGCAUAGGUCUUCGAACCGCAUGGUUUGAAGAGGAAAAGAGGCGCAAGCUUCUGCUGAUGGAUGGACCCGCGGUGCAUUAGCUAGUUGGUGAGGUAACGGCUCACCAAGGCCGUGAUGCAUAGCCGACCUGAGAGGGUGAUCGGCCACAUUGGGACUGAGACACGGCCCAAACUCCUACGGGAGGCAGCAGUAGGGAAUCUUCCGCAAUGGACGCAAGUCUGACGGAGCAACGCCGCGUGAGUGAAGAAGGUUUUCGGAUCGUAAAACUCUGUUGUUAGAGAAGAACAAGUGCUAGAGUAACUGUUAGCGCCUUGACGGUAUCUAACCGGAAAGCCACGGCUAACUACGUG
rnacentral:rRNA from 1 species